rnacentral:tRNA from 17 species
GGCGGAUGUAGCCAAGUGGAUCAAGGCAGUGGAUUU